CUCAACGGUGGAAUUGCAGGGCAAACCAACGGUCUUGAGGCAGGCAGGGGCCGACGGAACUGUGGGUGGAGCGGUGAAAUGCGUAGAUAUCCACAGGAACGCCAGUGGCGAAGGCGGUCGGCUGGGCCUGUUCUGACGCUCAGGCACGAAAGCGUGGGGAGCAAACAGGAUUAGAUACCCUGGUAGUCCACGCCCUAAACGAUGCACACUAGGUCGUCGCGGUUCUGACACCGUGACGGCCGAAGCGAAAGCGUUAAGUGUGCCGCCUGGGGAGUACGGUCGCAAGGCUAAAACUCAAAGGAAUUGACGGGGGCUCACACAAGCGGUGGAGCAUGUUGCUUAAUUCGAGGCAACGCGAAGAACCUUACCUGGGCUUGACAUGCACGGAUUAACUCCCUGAAAGGGAAGCCACGCCCUCGGGUGGAACG
rnacentral:rRNA from 1 species